rnacentral:lncRNA from 1 species
GCGUGAUCUCGGCUCACUGCUAUCUCCGCCUCCCGGGUUUGAGUGAUUCUCCUGCUUCAGCCUCUCGAGUAGCUGGGAUUACAGUCACUUGCCACCGUACCCAGCUGAUUUUUGUAUUUUUAGUAGAGACAGGGUUUUACCAUGUUGGCCAGGCUGGUCUCUAACUCCUGACCUCAAAUGAUCUACCCUCCUGGCCUCCCAAAGUGCUGGAAUUACAGGAUUGAGCCACCACACCUGGACUGCCAUCCAAGAUUGGGCAACUGAUAUUCAGUCCCAUGCACUACUUGAGCCAGUCUUGACUGAAACAGGAAUCACAUCAAAAGAUGAGGCAACACAAUCAGGUUUCUCAUGUACAAGGAGGAAAAGAGGCCAAACACGGAAACCCCAUGCAGUGACUGCCUCCUUUGGAUCAGCAUGUUAUGAAAAGUCGGUACCUGCCAUUCUGAUUGACUGAGAGCAACAGAAAACCCCUGAGGCCUUCCGGUUCAGUUGGGAUUGUAAUGAUAGACCAGCAAGACAAAAGCCUGCCAGAACAUUAGCUUCAACUGUAUGACAAUGCCCUUCCCAAGAAGAUAUGAUGCUGUGUAGAUGAAUAUAGAUUGAAAACGUGGAUCCUGUCAGCAGCACUGAUUUCACUCAGAAAACUUGUAUACUGGGAGGAUGCUGUGUCUGCUCAGGGUUAGGACUCCAGCAAUGUGUGAAAAAUUCAUUUUCCCAGCUGCAAACACUCAUGCUUCUAGUUGUACAAGUGGUAACUUGAGGGUCCACGCUAAUGUUGAAGCUUAGACAGAAAUAGGUGUGUGUGUGUGUGUCUAUCCCUGCUACGAAUGAGCAGGUACUUCUUGGCCUAAUCGUAGGGCAUGGGGGAGGAUCCACACAUUGCUCAAAAAUAAAAUUUCUUUCUGGA